CGCUCAUCCAGAGGGGCAGAGGGAUACGGCCCGAUGAAGCCCCGGCAACCCUCCGGCCGGUCUUGUCGCAGUUCAUGCGCGAGGCUCCCGGCUCGGGAAGGUGCCAAAUCCGUCUCACGGCGAGAUGCGCCGUGAGGAAGAUGAGGA
rnacentral:ncRNA from 2 species